UACAAGUUGAAGAAUGAGAGUUUCAACUGAAACGAAGACGAAAAAAGUCAACUUGACUUCGUUAGCUUAAAUCAAUCGGGGGAAAAAAGAAAUAGUAGCGAAAAAUAAGUUUCAAAUCAGGGCGUGCUACAUCGAUUUCAAUGAACAAAGAACGCCAAGCGUUUCGAUGUGUUGUGAAAGGAAAUAAACAUAUGCCCGGUGAAAAUGGACUUCAUGGGAUUUAUUGAAGCGAAGAGUGUGUUUUUUGGCGUAAUGAAGACUUCAUUCAAUAAAUAAGAUAUUAUCAAAGAGAACUCUAUUUCUUAUUCAUUCGCACGCUCGGGAUGUCACUCUGCACAUAACACGCUCAUUGACAUCUCUUUUUUCGGGAGUUUCAAGUCAUCACAAAGUGUUUUAAUCUGCUGAUUGUGAGUUCAAUGUGGACUAUACCAUGAACCGUACUCCAUAUUGUCUUUAUUUUAUGUCACGCAAAUUCUGUACACUACGUGCCUUACGGUGGAAAAUGGUAAAUGCAAACAAAAUCAAAGCGCCAAUAAUCCACAAAAAAAUUUCCAGUUGUGUUCAAUACACAGUAGCAGUAUAUUAGUUUCAAAUACAUGUUCUACUCGUUCAAGAAAGCAAACAAACCGAUUGAAAAAAAAAGAGAGAAAGAUACUCUUGUGCUCAUUUGAUACUAUGCGAUGGGCAAAUAGAUGUUGCAAUGUAUACAUUUUAUAUUUUCUGUGCAUUCAACUCACAGUGUUAUGUCAAUGAGCGUGAGAAAGAGAGAAAGAAAAAGCAUUGAAAAAUCCCAAGUUAAAGCCUGUCACAUACUUCGGUGUCGUCUAGCGUCUAGUCGAUUCAUAAACACAAAAUGACGUCGGACAAUUUCCAACUCUCAGUUCCAUUUACAACGUUUUUCAUUUCGAUUUCUGUGCUUGCACUGCGAAAGUCCGUUUUUCAAAAAUGUUUGUACACGUUUGAUUUUCGUCCGUUUUUUUUCGUCGCUUUUUCUUUGCGUUCAUUCUAUUACGUGUCGUGAAUUCCCCAAGCAAACAUGAAUGUCUCUUUGAUUUCACAUCAUCUCUCGUAUCCGAUUUACGUGUUUUAAAAACAUUUUUUCUCCCUCCCUCUUUCUGUCUCCUUCACUUUCCGUCAUUCGUUCAACUUUUUCAAGAGUGAACGUUUUCAUAUAUUUUGUCGAUAAUGUUAAAUGCCGAAACAGCAAAGCAGAAGACAGGUAACGUACUCUAGUUUUACAUUUGCACGAACAACGCUCAAGUAGAGAGAAGAAAAAAAAGAUUGAGUGUAGCGUUACAGGCGUUUUCUGUGCAAAUGAGUUCACACUUAUCGAGUGUGUACGAAAGAAACACCACUUUUGGCAAUGCUACAAUAUCUUUCAUGUUAUUCUUUGUUGUUGUACGCUCGUCCGCUUGAGCAUUUCUCAUUCUAUGUCAUCCUCUCCAAACGUUCAUAUAUCUGAGCGAUAUAAGUUUUCCAUUGAAAGUUUUUAGCAAAGAGAUGAUGUUUUGAAGAGCUUCUGGGGCGGUAAAAAACACAAGCUGCUGAUUUUUCAACAUGAAGAACUUUUUGAGUGUUUUAGAGCUAUCAUAGGCGCGCUUCGUGCCACUUUUUUCCUCUGGACAAAGGCACACACACUCGUUCGCUCUGUCUGUUUGUGUUCAGUCAUUAAACAAUUGUUUCUCACUCGUCCCAAAAGUCCAACAUUUCGGAUCAUAUUUGUUAUGAUGUAAAAGUUUUUGCAAACGAUAGCAAUAAGUUUUCUGUAUCUGUUAAAGUCACUUACAACAGCAACCGACUCUUCCUCUCGGAAUUUUUUUUCUUCUUGUUUCGGUGAAUGUCGUAAGCAACCAAGUUUUUUUUAAAUUAAAAUCUCUUUCUAUUAUUAUCAAAUUGGAUCACGCAAAGCACUGAAAUGCACAACGAAUGCGAAAAAAAUGUAUGCCUAAAGUUCAUUGCGCUAAAAGAAACAAACGAAGAAAACCAAUUAUUACGGCAAUAAUUUCUGUUUUGAUUGAAAAAAAGGAAAAACAAAUUUUCGACUACAAUGAGUUGUUUUAACUUGACAUUUGUUGGCUGUGAAUGAUUAGAUUUACGUCAAAUGCAUUUACUCUUUGGUUGCACAGCGAAAAGGGCCAAAUGAAACUACUUUUGUCUUGCCCCUCUGCCUGUAUGUUACUCUGAGGCCCCCACUGACUUUAUCGUAUUUUUUUGUUUUUUCGCUCAUUCUUGAUUUUUUUUUUGUUUGAAUUCGAUUUUCUUCUCAUGAACAAACGGUGGAGCAAGCGAGUAAGCGAUCGUGCGCUUGUUAUGCGCACGAACGGAAACCAAGUUCGCUGUUAAAAUGAGUGCGAAAUACGAAAAUACAUAAACUAAAAACACAACAACCAAAUUCAAUCAAAAGUCUCAAGUUUUUUUUCAUUUUGUUAUAAAAAAUUCAACCAAUCUGAGUGAGCGAACAAAAAAAAAUUGAGUCUUGGUUUCUGGAAAUGGUUUUUACUUUAUUUAUUUUUUGCAAACUAAAGCGUACAGAGACCAUGCUCAAAACGAAUAUAUACACGAUGGUUUAGUUUGAUUCGAGUUAACUUAACAGAAGGUUUUCUGUGUAAACAUAAAAACCCAUACACAAACGCUUUCUCUUGCCGUCUCUCAGUGGACUUUUGUGUCUGAAACAUUUAAAUUCUUUUGACAUUUAUUUGAAAAGUGAGCACAUCAAUUGAGACUUGAUGAAUUUCUACCAUUUGAUUUGUGUGUGUUGGGUGUUGCUGUUUGGGCGCAUAUUAAAAGGUGUCAAUUGUCGUUGGUUGUCACCAACUGAUAUCACAAAUCAUGACGAUAAUGUCGACACUGGUAUAUCAGUGAUCGAUCCAUGGCGACCAAAGAGCUCUGAAUACCAAUUAAAUAAAAAAUCGAUAUCGCACGAUGAUGACCAAAGCGAGACACGAAAACGAUCACGAAAGCGGCGGCAUAAAAACCAACGAAAGAAAAAACGUCAACUUGACAACCGAAUACGAGCUCAUAAUUUCGAUGCAUUUGAAGCGGAUUAUGUGGAUUUUGGUGCCCUUAUUGGACAGAACGGUGCAUUUUCAUGGCAUGCAAAUUACUCACCAGACUGAGAUCAAUAAAAAAAGAGGCGACAAACGACGACACGGCUUACAACAAACCGUUUCUCAUUAUAAUAUAUUUACUUUGUGUAUUUCCGUUCACCCUCCACCGUUAAUUACAUGUUCGUUUUCUAUUGCAGCACCAUUGUGUAUUUUGUAACUGCUCGACAAUAAAACUUGGUUCAUUGGAUUGAAACAUUACUCAAUAUGCUGUGUAUUGAUUAUAAACCCCUUUCAACACUCCUUGUGAAUGACUGUAUCCACUCGAUAUAGCAACCAAGCGAACCAAUUCAUUCGAAUAUUUCUUACCUAAUCUCAAUAUAUGCAAAAUACGGAAUACAAAUGGAAUCAUUCGAAAUCGAUUUCAUAGAGUAUAUUUGUUCGGGCAUUAAAUUCACGUUCAUUUACAUAAAACAGAAUUGGAUCCUAGUUUCUACGUGUGCGAUUGAAGUUUUGACAAAAAAAAUUAAAAUAGAACAAAAAAAAAGGAUCUCGUUCAUUGCAUCUAAAAUCGGUUCACCGAUUCGCUUUGAAUUUGGCUUAAUUUUAGCAUAUAUUUUUGGAAUUCAGUAACACUCAUUAUUUGAACGCCUUUUCAACUUGCCAUGAAGUUUGCCACUAGAGUUCUAUUUCAGAUUCAACAUUGUUGAAAGUUAAGGAUUUUCUCUCGCUAACUCUCUGAACGGCAUAAGUAAAAUUCAUUGAACAGUUUUCACAACCACUUUGCUCUUUCAACUUUUAGUUAGAAAAUAGUUCAGUAAAUUAUCAAUCAAUUAGUUUAAGGGAUGCGUGCGUGAACGAAAACCGUACCGCACAGUAAAUUGAAUUUUGCCCAUGAAGUUUAUUACAUGGUUAAGCAUAUGCAUGAUUGUAUAAUAAAAAGUAAUAAUUUUAUUUUAAAACUUGACAAGGCCACACUGUUUGCUUUGAACGUUUGGAUGUUAUUGCAGCGAUGAUGACGGUGGUGGCUGUAGAAUUUCA